rnacentral:lncRNA from 1 species
GGGAGUCUUGCUCAAGCAAUUUUAGAGGAAUAGCUCUAAAAUAAGUGGCUUUCCCAGGAUCAAAGGCAGAGCCAUUUUGCUGAAGGUGACAAUGGAGUGAGCCAUGCAAGAGGACAAUUCUGGGCACCAACAAUCCGAUUGCUGAUCCUUCAAGUGUGCAUGUGCAGCUGGCUUUUGCUUUCCUAGCUGAUCCUGCUGAAAUUAGUGAAAAGCAGUGCUGGGUUAACAGUUGGACUCAAAAUCUUUGAGGUCUUUUCCAACCUUAAGGAUUAUGUGAAUCUUUUGAGCUGAGGAGAGCGCUAGGAUCUGUUUUAAUCCGCACUGGCCAAUGCAGCCCUGGCUGGUGAGGAAUGUGACACCAGUGAUCCAGGUGUCACAAGGAACUCCUGAUGCUGCCUCUCCCUCCCUUCCCAAGCCUGUGGCAGCACCUUUCCUGGGAUGUGAGGGGAUUUAUUUUGGAGGCAGAGAGGAGAGGAAAACCGACUUGUCAGGAAAUUUGGCUGGACUUGUUUGAGUGAGGCUGACUGGAAAACAGCUGUGUGUGCACGGAGCAGAGACUGCACCCCUGCACUGCCAGGGUGGGAUGGCAGGAAAGCCCUUUUGCUUUUUCUCUGGGGUUUUUUGGUGUUUUUUGUUUGUUUGUUUGUUUUUAAGAAACAGAAAUACAAGACCUGAUUGGCAGCCUGGGAGGAGAAACCUGAGGUGCCUGAGGGCCUGGACUCAUGGGAGCAUCCCAAAACACUUGUCAGUCCCUGGAGGUGUCUGUUACCCCAACAAGUGCCAGUCCUCAUGGAGCUGAUUCAGAACAAAGCUGCAGAGCAGGUGUUGGAAGGGUCAGCAUCACUGGAUGUGAUCCCUCUGGAGGUGCUGCCAGACCAUUGAGUGCUCCAUCCCUGCCCUCCAGACACCCUCUUCCUGGAGGAAAGUCGGCAGCUUUGGGUUUAUUCCAUCUUUUCAGCCAUGCCAAAGCCUAUUUAAUACCAGGUUUGCUGUGGGUUUGUUUGGGUUUGGUCCCACAAACGCCUCUGGGGCAGGUCAAUGCAUCCCCCAAGCCACCCUUUGGCUGUGCCUUUGGAGUUUGCAAAAUCUCUGUUCUGCCUGAAAAAGCAUCAGGGAAUAUUAUUGAUAAACAAUAG